CAUUCCCCGUGAGGCUUCAUGAGCAGGAGCGACAGAAACAAUGGAUCGCCGCCGUUCGUCGGGAAAGUGCAGAUGGCAUUCCGUGGCAGCCUACCAGACACACCAGGAUUUGCAGCUGUCACUUUGUAAAUGGCGAGAAGUCGAGCGAUCCGAGAAGCCCUGCCUAUCUACCAACCUUGUUUCGAAUUGUGUACAGGUCUACCAACGUUGCUACUGCACACAGGUAUGAAAGGCUCCGGUCACAUGAGAAGCACGGACAAGCCACAUGGAGCUGUGUGUUGCCAGUUCCUGACGACCAAGAAUGGGGUGGUGCAACUGCAGUGCACACAAGUGUAGGAACGCAGACAGACCCUUGCACAUGGUUCUCGGAGGUGGAUAUGCCGAGCCUCUUCUUUUGUUGUUUAAAAGAAUGCGAAGCUGAGACACAGGUAGGAUGAGGCUUACUAGAGUGGCUUGUACACAUUUGAUCUUGCGUGUGCUUGUUUAA